AUUGAACGCUGGCGGCAGGCCUAACACAUGCAAGUCGAGCGCGAAAGGCCUUCGGGCUGAGUAGAGCGGCGGACGGGUGAGUAACGCGUAGGAAUCUACCUGGUAGUGGGGGACAACUUGGGGAAACUCAAGCUAAUACCGCAUACGCCCCAUGGGGGAAAGCGGGGGACCUUCGGGCCUCGCGCUAUCAGAUGAGCCUGCGUAGGAUUAGCUAGUUGGUGAGGUAAAGGCUCACCAAGGCGACGAUCCUUAGCUGGUCUGAGAGGAUGAUCAGCCACACUGGAACUGAGACACGGUCCAGACUCCUACGGGAGGCAGCAGUGGGGAAUAUUGCGCAAUGGGCGAAAGCCUGACGCAGCCAUGCCGCGUGUGUGAAGAAGGCCUUCGGGUUGUAAAGCACUUUUAUGGGAAAGAAAAACCCGGAGCUAA
rnacentral:rRNA from 1 species